GAUCAUGGCUCAGGAUGAACGCUGGCGGCGUGCCUAACACAUGCAAGUCGAACGGAGUUAUUUUGGAAAUCUCUUCGGAGAUGGAAUCUUUAACUUAGUGGCGAACGGGUGAGUAACGCGUGAGGAACCUGCCUCAAAGAGGGGGACAACAGUUGGAAACGACUGCUAAUACCGCAUAAGCCCACGGCUCGGCAUCGAGCAGAGGGAAAAGGAGCGAUCCGCUUUGAGAUGGCCUCGCGUCCGA
rnacentral:rRNA from 1 species